rnacentral:rRNA from 1 species
AGUUUGAUCCUGGCUCAGGACGAACGCUGGCGGCGUGCCUAAUACAUGCAAGUCGAGCGGACCGAYGGGAGCUUGCUCCCUUAGGUCAGCGGCGGACGGGUGAGUAACACGUGGGUAACCUGCCUGUAAGACUGGGAUAACUCCGGGAAACCGGGGCUAAUACCGGAUGCUUGAUUGAACCGCAUGGUUCAAUCAUAAAAGGUGGCUUUYAGCUACCACUUACAGAUGGACCCGCGGCGCAUUAGCUAGUUGGUGAGGUAACGGCUCACCAAGGCGACGAUGCGUAGCCGACCUGAGAGGGUGAUCGGCCACACUGGGACUGAGACACGGCCCAGACUCCUACGGGAGGCAGCAGUAGGGAAUCUUCCGCAAUGGACGAAAGUCUGACGGAGCAACGCCGCGUGAGUGAUGAAGGUUUUCGGAUCGUAAAACUCUGUUGUUAGGGAAGAACAAGUACCGUUCGAAUAGGGCGGUACCUUGACGGUACCUAACCAGAAAGCCACGGCUAACUACGUGCCAGCAGCCGCGGUAAUACGUAGGUGGCAAGCGUUGUCCGGAAUUAUUGGGCGUAAAGCGCGCGCAGGCGGUUUCUUAAGUCUGAUGUGAAAGCCCCCGGCUCAACCGGGGAGGGUCAUUGGAAACUGGGGAACUUGAGUGCAGAAGAGGAGAGUGGAAUUCCACGUGUAGCGGUGAAAUGCGUAGAGAUGUGGAGGAACACCAGUGGCGAAGGCGACUCUCUGGUCUGUAACUGACGCUGAGGCGCGAAAGCGUGGGGAGCGAACAGGAUUAGAUACCCUGGUAGUCC